rnacentral:snoRNA from 1 species
CCAACGUGGAUAUCCUGGGAGGUCACUCUCCCCAGGCUCUGUCCUGGUGGCGUAGGGGAGCACAGGGCUCUGCCUUAUGAUGUACAGUCCCUUUCCACGACGUUGGAGAUGAAGCUGGGCCUUGAGUCUGCGCCUGCAUAUUCCUACGGCUUCUCAGAGUCCUGUGGACCAUGACUGAGGAGAUAAACCAUGCAGGAAACAUUA